CCCCUCCCACCAAAUCGUCGGCCCCUCUCUCUCACUUUUCUUCAUCAAACAAAUCCCCAAAUUGAGAAUUUACCAAACCCUAGCCCCUCUCCCUCCUUCCUCGGCGCACUUCGCCGCUGCACGGCCGCCAUCUCUCUCCCUACCUUUCUCCGAUUCUUCCCCUCGGCGUCUCGCGUUGGGUGCGGCCUGCUAAUGCGAAGCCGGUGCUGCCUCCGUCUCCAACCGACGCCGCGACUGUGUAGCCGCCUCCGUCGGGUCUCCCUCCGUCGAGCUAGACUCGGAGUUGGCCAAUCCCCGCCGACGCCUCCGUUUGCCGCCUCCCUUGCCGUCUCGGCACCAUCGAAGCAGAGAAGGGGGCGUCGCCCUUACGGUGGAACCGCCGUCACUAGCGCCUGUUUUCUCUUCUUCUCCGGCGAGACCGUUUCCAGACGCUCGACUAGUAGCCGCCGCCGAAGUCCAGCGGGGAGCCAUCCUUGCUCCGCGUCUCCCUUGUCGAUGUUGUUGUCCGGGCGUGAUUCGAGGCGCGCCAACACCGCUGCUGUGCGUGCGCGGCGGCUGACUGUCGCUGCUGUGCAUGCACAGGCAGCGGCUUCGCCGCCUCUCCUCCGCGACUCGCCAUUCUCCGACAGGUAAGAUUGGUCAAGGUUGUGAUAUUGUCAGUCGCUAGGGUGUGGGGCUGCCCUCCUCGUCUCUGGGCUGCCGUGAAUCUGUUUCCGGCAGAUUCAUACCCAUGAGAUAAGUUUCCCUAACUUGUGCUUUCUUUAGUUUGUCUAUUACAUAGAUUUGAAGACUUUGAGUAAUUAUCUUACUUGUUGGUGUAAUUUAGGACUCUAGUAUGUUGCGUUGUGUUUUGGUGUUGCAUAAAAGAAAUGUACUAAAGCUGUAAAUUCCUUAUCCUAAGCAUGAUGUUCACAACGAGGCAGGGGGUGUGCUAGUGUGUUUACUUGUUCUUCCAUUAUGUUAUCAUGUUGUUACGUUCUGAGAUGGUGGUGUUCUAAUUAUGCUUGCGGUAUAUAUAUGAA